rnacentral:rRNA from 1 species
UUUUCGCCUGAAGAAUUAAUCAGACUACUGCGAGCGGAACGAGCAGGGCGAACUUUGGAUAAAUCGAUCUAUUAUCGGGCAAUCUUAUUGGGAAUAACAAGGGCUUCCCUCAAUACCCAAAGUUUCAUAUCUGAAGUACGUUUUGAAGAAACUGACCGAGUUUUAGUAGAAGUUGCCCUAUGAGGUCGCAUUGAUUGGUUGAAAGGCUUGAAAGAAAACAUAGUUUGAGGGGGGGUUAUACUUGUUGCUAUUGGAUUCCGAAAAAUUGUGUAUCAUUCCCCAGAAGACAACCUUUAUUAA